UACGUAGGGUGCGAGCGUUAAUCGGAAUUACUGGGCGUAAAGCGUGCGCAGGCGGUGAUGUAAGACCGAUGUGAAUCCCCGGGCUUAACCUGGGAACUGCAUUGGUGACUGCAUCGCUCGAGUAUGGCAGAGGGGGGUAGAAUUCCACGUGUAGCAGUGAAAUGCGUAGAGAUGUGGAGGAAUACCGAUGGCGAAGGCGAGUCCCUGGACAACUCCUGACACUGAGGCACGAAAGCUAGGGGAGCAAACAGG
rnacentral:rRNA from 1 species